rnacentral:tRNA from 1 species
AAGAUAUUAGAAAAACUAUUUCAUGGCUUUGUCAAGGCCAAGUUAUAGGUCAAACCCUAUAUAUCUUA